rnacentral:pre_miRNA from 1 species
UCAUUUUUGUGGUUGGUGCAAUUCUCUUUAAAUCAAUUGCAUAGUCACAAAAGUGAUG